rnacentral:rRNA from 1 species
UACGGAGGAUGCGAGCGUUAUCCGGAUUUAUUGGGUUUAAAGGGUGCGUAGGCGGGAUGCCAAGUCAGCGGUAAAAAUGCGGUGCUCAACGCCGUCGAGCCGUUGGAACUGGCGUUCUUGAGUGGGCGAGAAGUAUGCGGAAUGCGUGGGGUAGCGGUGAAAUGCAUGGAUAUCACGCAGAACUCCGAUUGCGAAGGCAGCAUACCGGCGCCCUACUGACGCUGAGGCACGAAAGCGUGGGUAUCGAACAGG